GACGAACGCUGGCGGCGUGCUUAACACAUGCAAGUCGAACGGAAAGCGCUCUUCGGAGUGACUCGAGUGGCGAACGGGUGAGUAACACGUGGGUGAUCUGCCCUGCACUUUGGGAUAAGCCUGGGAAACUGGGUCUAAUACCGGAUAGGAGCAUGGCCUUCAUGGGUUGUGGUGGAAAGCGUUUGCGGUGGGGGAUGGGCCCGCGGCCUAUCAGCUUGUUGGUGGGGUAAUGGCCUACCAAGGCGACGACGGGUAGCCGGCCGUGAGAGGGUGUCCGGCCACACUGGGACUGAGAUACGGCCCAGACUCCUACGGGAGGCAGCAGUGGGGAAUAUUGCACAAUGGGCGCAAGCCUGAUGCAGCGACGCCGCGUGAGGGAUGACGGCCUUCGGGUUGUAAACCUCUUUCAACUACGACGAAGCGGAAGUGACGGUAGUAGUAGAAGAAGGACCGGCCAACUACGUGCCAGCAGCCGCGGUAA
rnacentral:rRNA from 1 species